AGCCACCGCGGCGACUUGGCGGCGGGUGCCAUGCGUCUGGAGCUUCACAUUCUCUGCCCCCCACCCACCGCGCCGGCGCUCCCUUGUCACGCCUCGGGAAGCGCGCACCUGCCAAGCAGGAUGAAUAAUCUGAUAUCAUGUGAAAUGAGGAAAUAAGAAGCUUUCUGCUGACUUCAUUUUGACCCAGGGUCCAAAAGGUGAUGUAAUCCUGUGGCAAGAAGAUUCAAAACUGUGGACUAUCUUGCAAAAAAUACAAGAAGAUAUUGAAAGUUUUCAUGAGUGCCUACCACCUAAUCUCAAACACUAUCAUUCAUAUGUGCCUCAUUGAGCAAAUCUUUAAUGAGGAUCUAUAUGCCAGCAAUAUCUUUUGCUUGGGAGCAGAAACAGAAAGUACAUGAUGGACUUCAUUGAAGGAUGGAGAUUUGGAAGACAUGAAUGGAUGAAGAACCAAACGGAGUCUCGCUCUGUUGCCCAGGCUGUAGUUCAGUGGUGCAAUCUCAGCUCACUGCAAGCUCUGCCUCCCGGGUUCAUGCCAUUCUUCUGCCUCAGCCUCCCGAGUAGCUGGGACUACAAGCGCCUGCUACCACGCCUGGCUAAUUUUUUGUAUUUUUUAGUAGAGACGGAGUUUCACCAUGUUAGCCAGGAUGGUCUCGAUCUCCUGACCUUGUGAUCCACCCAUCUCGGCCUCCCAAAGUGCUAGGAUUACAGGCAUGAGCCACCACGCCCAGCCAACUUAUAACUUUUAUAUCAUUAGACACAUGGAAUAUGGGCCUCCGUUUGUACUCUUGCCCUUGGCCCCACAAACGUUAGGGAGAGGCCUGGCUCCUGCAAUGUACUAUUUACCUGUUGUAAAGAAUAGCCCUUCAAAAGUAUUAUUCUAAGUCUGUUUGACAUAAUAGGUCCAAAUUGUAUUACAACAUGGUAAAAAAACAACAAUCCAUUAACAAUCCUCUUUGGAUUUCUAAAAAAGUUUUGGUAGCCUAAACUCUUUCCCCAAUUUUUGAUAUCACUUCAUGUCAUUUUAGAGAGUAAGUUUUCCUGUUUUAUUAAUGUUUAUAUUUAAGCUGAAUUUUCUAAAAGAAUUGUGAGUGUUUUUAUUCUAUUGUGACAUUCAAGGUACGCAGCUGACCCUUGAGUAUAAGUCCCAUCAACUAAGUAAACAUCAAACAUAUCUUCAGUACAUCCCUUUAGAUCUUGACAGUUAUUUAUCACUUUUUCAUAAGUUCCAAAGUUCCAGAUGGUUACUGAUACAUUCAGGCUGACCACUGCUAGAUUUGAGACUUGUCCCACAGAUCUGCACUGUAUCUUCAUACCUUCAUUAAUAGAUCUUUUAUUCUUUUUUUUUUUAAUUUUUUUGGAGACGUGGGUCUCAUUAUGUUGCCCAGGCUGGUCUUGAACUUCUGGCCUCAAGUGAUCCUCCCAACUCAGCCUCCCAAAGUAUUGGAAUUAUAGGUGUGAGCCACUACACCCAGCCUAGAUCUCAAUCAGGUGACACUGAAAAUGUUUGGUCAUAAACCACAGUGAAGGAAGGGGAGGCAGCUGUUAGAUCAUCUGCCUUGACCCACAGUCCUCAUCCAUUUGCACCUUGGCAAGCCCUCUACUACAUCUGAAUCUCGAAAUGGGGGAUAACCUCUUGGGAGAGUCUAUGCUAGUACCCUUCUAGUAGUAGUUUACAAUCUGCCAACAAAUCUUGAAGCCUUAUUUGGUUGAUAUCAAUUUGAGAGGUGGGAGGUUCAGUUUCCAAAGAGUCAGGAAAGAGCAUUCAUCUAGGCUUGAGAAGCCUCCAUUUCCUAACUCAAGAGUUCUGAUUAGGUUGUUGGUUGAGUGACACAAGGCAAUCAUCUCACUUUUCUGUUCCUGAGCUUCUCCUUUUAUAGAAUGUGGGCAGGAGUGUGGAGAGGGAGAAUUUAUUUCAUUUCCUGUUUUCCAAACUUACUAAACUGUGGAAACUUUUUCUUUUGCAGCAUUGGGCAAAACUGAUGUUCUAAGGAACAUUCUUUAGGAAAGGUUAGCCAGAUCCGUGGUUCUCAACAGGCAUGUGGUACACAUUUAAUAAUGUCUGGAGACGUUUUUGGUUGUCACAACUGGGGAUCCAGGGAUGCUGCUAAACAUCCUGCAAUGCCUAGGACAGCCCUCCACAACGGAGAAUUAUCCAACUCAAAAUGCCAAUCAUUCUAAGGGGUUGAAAAACUCUGGACUAUAUGAACUAUCUCAAUUCUCUUUCAACACUAACAUUUAAAUGUGGUGUUUCUUGUUUUUUAAACACACAAAAUUUUAUUUCUGUUUUACACAAAGUCAGCUAUGGGUAUGGAUGAAUCUGCGGACAGUUUUCUUCCAUGUGUUGGCUCCAUAUUUCAGCUGCUUUGAUCUUUUUGACAUCUUAUCAAUGUGUUCUUCUAUGAUUUCCUUGGCAGAGAAAGAGAAAGCAGAGAGAAUCAUGUGCUGGAUCUUAAAUGCUUCUACGUGGAUGUAGUAAAUGUCUCUUCUACUUUUUUUAAAUAAGAAGUGUAUUAAAAUAUAAUCCAUGUAUCAUAUAAUUUACUCAUUUAAGGCAUAAAAUUCGGCUGGGUAUGGUGGCUCACACCUGUAAUCCCAGCACUUUGGGAGGUUGAGGUGGGGUGAAUCUCUUGAGCCCAGGAGUUUGAGACCAGACUGGGCAACAUGGCAAAACCCCAUCUCUACAAAAAAUACAAAAAUUAGCCAGGUGUGGUGGCACGCACCUGUAAUCCCAGCUAUUUGGGAGGUUGAGGUGGGAGUAUUGCUUGAGUUUUGAAGGCAGAGGUUGCAGUGAGCCAAGAUUGUGCCACUGCACUCCAGCCAGGGUGACAGAGUGAGACUGUCUCAAAAAAAAUUUUUCAGCUAAAAUAAAGUGUAAAACUCUGUAGUUUUUAGUGUAUCCACAAAAUGUGUGCAAUCGUCUCUACACUCAAUUUUAGAACAUUUGAAUCACCCCCAGAAGAAACACUGUACCUAUUAACAGCCAUUCCCAAUUUUCCCUCAACACCUCCACCUCAGCCCUAGGCAACCACUAACCUAUUUUCUAUCUCUAUAGGUUUACCUAUACUGGAUAUUACAUAUAAAUGGAAUCAUGUCCUUUGUAACUGUCUUCUUUCACUUUGCAUAAUGUUUUCAAGGUUCAUUCAUGUUGCAUCCUUCUCAAUAUUUCAUUUUUAUUGCUGAAUAAUAUUCCAUUGUAUGAAUAUAACACAUUUUAUUUAUCCAUUCAUCGCUUGAUGGAUAUAUGAGCCAUUUCUACUUUUUAGAUAUUCUGAAUAAUGCUGCUAUGAAUACUUAUAUGCAAGUUUUUACAUGGACGUAUGUCUUCAUUUCUCUUAGGUUAUAUAUCUAAGAAAGGAAUUACUGAAUCAUACGAUAACUUUAUGCUUAGACUUUUGAGAAACUGCCAGACUGCUCUCCAAAAUGACUGUGCCAUUUUACAUUCCCAAAAGUAAUGUAUGAAGUUUCUAAUUUUUCCACACCCUCACCAACACUUAUUAUCUGUGUUUUUGAUUCUUGCCAUCCUAGUGUGUGUGAAGUAGUUUCUCACUGUGAUUUGUAUUUGAAUCUUCUUGAAGGCUAAUGAUUUUGAGCAUCUUUUCAUGUGCUUAUCGUCUCUUCUUUAUAUAGAUGUCUAUUCAGGUCCUUGGCCCAUUUUUAAUUUGGGCUAUUUGUCUUUUCAUUACUGAGUUUUAAGAAUAAUUUUUGUUUAUUCUAGACACACAUCCCAUAUUAGAUAGGUGAUUUGCAACUAUUUCCUCCCAUUCUGUAGGUUUCUUGCUGGUGUCCUUUUAGGAAUAGAAGUUUUACGUUUUGAUGAAGUCAAGUGUGUAUGUUUUCUUUUGUUGCUUGUGUGUUUGAUCUCAUAUCAAAAAACCAUUGCACAAUCCAAGGCCACAAAGAGUUAUGUCUAUGUUUUCUAGAUUUUUAUCAUUUUAGUGCUUACAUUUAGGUCUUUGAUCUUUUUGUGUUAAUUUUUUAUAUUGGGUGUGAGGUAAAAAUCCAACUUCAUUCUUUUGCAUGUGAUAUCCAAUUAUCCAGAACCACUUGUUGAGAAGGCUAGUUCUUCCUCACUGGAUUAUCUUGGCACCCUUGUCAAAAAUAAGUUGACUGUAGAUGUGAAGGUGUAUGAGUUGCUAAAAUACCUCUUCUGUGAUAUUUAUAAUUUAUUUUCUAAAAGGAUAAGUUAUAGGUCACAUCUCAGAUUACAAUGAUUCAAGUCAAAAAGUUCAAAGUAGAAUUUACUUUCAAAAUUGUUUGUUCCCCCAGAGCUAGUUAAUGCCCCCAGAGCUAGUUAAUAAACUCUAUUUGCAGAUAAAAGCAUGCUUUCCCUUCAAAGGUAUUUCACCAAGACGGGAAACACAAAACUAAAUAAGCUGGGAAACUGAGGAUACACAGAGGGUCUCCUUAAUCUCUGGAUAUGUGGUCUAAUGUAUCCUUUUUGUGCUCAUUUUUUCCCUUUUAUCCAGAAAUACAACAUUACCUUUUUAUAAAAUUCCUGGAGAUUGAUCAUAUCUCUAGUGUUUGGGUCUAGAAUGUAUUUUUUGGCCAAAACAUCUCUUUACCCCACUUCCACAUGUGGAAAGAAAGAAAACAUGGUACUCUAAUCUCACAAGUGAGGCAUGGGGUUGUUUCCUGAAAUGAGGCAAGGACUUUGGACAAGAACAUGUUUGGACUUGAGAUGGUUUUUGUAAACCCAAAUGAUAUUAGUUCUAGUCUGUCUUUAUCGCUCACUGUAUUUUGUUUUCAUUCAUACUAAUGAAUAAUAGACUUGAUUGUGUUCCAUCAUUUAUGUCAUUAAUAUUUCCUUUAUGUUUGAGUGCUGUGCAGUUCUCCUUGAAACUUGUAUGGAGAUUGAACUUGAUAGUGAUUUAAAGUAAUUAAUUCAUAUGUCAGUUGUUAGCAAGGUCUAGUAAUUAAAAUCUACUUUAGAGUAAGUUAUUAACUCUCCAAAAUAAAAACACUUUAUCAACUUACCAGUUUUAGCUAUUUAUUCUACUUGACAGAUGAGAUAGGGUAGUUAUUGACUGUACAUAAUCACCUAUGUACUUUCACCACUGAACACUAGGGUCAAAUUGAAGUCUAGGUUAUUAAAGUUCAUAGUUUAAAUCUAGAAUAAACCAGUUCAGGUUGAUGGGAGAAGGAAGAGAGUGUCCUUGGAUCUUGUUAUCUUUGCAAUAUUGUCUCCUUAAAUUUUGCAAAGUCCAUUUUUGCUGUCUUCAAAAUUCUCAAACUUCUAAACUAAAAACACCCUAGACCAAGGAUUUCAUAUUGAGAUCUAAGAUAUCAAAGUGCUAUAUUGUUUAUGAUUUAUUUUAUAAUGCUUUUUAGUAAAACAAACUUUAGAUGCCAUGAUUUCCUUGUGAACAGGCUGGAGGGAAGAAAACAAGUUACACGUAAUGCAUGGGACACAAGUGCAGGCCUUUUAUUUGCAGGCCUAAACUAGUCACAAGUUUCCAUCUUAUGAAAGCAAGUUUUCUUUUAUUCUGCUUUGUUUUUUGUCUUGAUAUCUGGUUACAUUUAUUCAGUUUGAGGGCAUCUUAUAACGGGCCCUUUACUUCCCUCCAUUUGGCUUGUGAUGAACUACUACCAAGGUCAAUCCAGGUCUGACUCUUUCAUGGAGUCAGUGUGGCUGGGGUAGUGUUUCCCAAGCCAAGCUUGUCAUCAGAAUUACCUGGGGUGGUUUGUAAAGAACUUUUCAGGCCUCAUUCCAAACCUACUAAAUUUAGAUCUCUGGUGUGGAGCCUGUAAAUCUGUAUGUUUGAAACCUUCCCAAGGUGAUUCUGAUGUCCAGUCAUAUUUGGGUCAUAGUCCAGAAUGCAGUCAUGCAUUGCUUAAUGACAGGGAUUUGUUCUGAAAAAUGUGUCAUUAGGUAAUUUCUUCAUUGUAGAACCAUCAUAGAGUGUGAUUACACAAACCUAGAUGGUAUAGCCUACUACACACCUAGGCUAUGUGGUAUAGCCUAUUGCUCCCAGGCUACAAACCUGUACAGUAUGUUGCUGUACUGAACACUGUAAGUAAUUGUAAUACAAUGGUAAGUAUGUGUGUAUCUAAAUAUAUCUUAACAUAGAAAAGGUGCAGUAAAAAUACAGUAUUCAAAUCUCAUGAAACCACCAUCAUAUAAGAGGUCCGUAGUUGAACUGAAAUGUUGUUGUGUUGCCCAUGAUUGUACUUGGAUUUCAGGACUCUGCAGAUGCUUGGAGGUCUUAUGGGUUUGGCCAUGGGGUAUUGCCUCUGAGAAACUGCCAUCUGCUUGCCAGAGAUUCUGAAAAGACCAGAGUUGCCUAUUUGCAGUCUGUUCUUCAAGACUAUCUACUAUGUUGGCAAAAAGGCCUAGGUUUCUUCUCUGUCCAUUCUCAAUCCCUCAAUCUGUCCUUGUGACUUACUUGCUCCUUCAAGCUGCCCAGUAGUGGCGCUGGUGAAAAUAAAAUAGACUUUGGUCCUACAGACCUGUCAUGGACUCUCAGCUCAGCCUCUUCUAUGUGUGCCAUUUGCCUCAUCUGUAAAUGUAGUUAAUAUUGUCCUCUCAAAGAUGUUAGGAAAACCAGAAGAAUGUAUUUAUGUAACACCUAGAACAAGUAUACCCUGCAUUAGGCAUUAUUUGUUUGGUUUUACCUGUCCAUCUCAAUGAACAUGCUGGGUUAAUGAAGUGUGUUCAUCAAUUUUCCCUGAUCGUAGCCUUUUAGAUUGCUCUGGGCAGUGUUUCUCAAAGUAGGAGACACAGACCACCUACCUGUGAUUGACAGGAGGACAGAAAUCUGCUCUAAUGCACUCUAACCUUCUGCACUUUUCACUUUUUAUUGAAAUAUACAUAUAGAAAGGUGUAUUUAUUGUAAGUGAACAGCUCAGUGGCUUUUCCUAAACUGAACACACCCAUGUAACCAGCACCCAGAUCAAGAAACAGAACAUUACCAGCACCCCCGAAGCCUCCUCUGCAGGCACACUUUAAGAACCACUGGUCUAGGAAGAGCCCAGCUGGGGCACUGUCCUAAACCACCGUCCCGCCUUUACCUAGCAGGCCAAAUCUGCAUGCAGUGUCAGCUAUUCCCAAUCUGAGAGGCUGGGCCUAUAGCCUCACAUACACCCUUCAUAGUGAUGCAACUUCAUUUGUAAAAAGGGUCACAAAGGGUGUUUCUAUAAUUUAUAUUCCUAGCAUACACCCUAAACUGCUUAAAGCAAAUGAAUUCAGGUCCCAGCCAAAAAGGAGUGGAGACCAGUCACUGCCUGAAAGCAUUGGCUUAUUACAACACUCCAGCAUUUUCUCACGGCAGGGUGAAUGAGGUGGAUUCUAGUGUAAUUACCUUUAUGUAAUUGAAAACUAAAUCACCGAUGGCUGCAGAGUUUAAAUAUCCAUUUAAAUACUUUCAAUUUAUUCAGCUUAUUUUUUCAGGACAUGCUACUACCAAAUAGGCUAUUAAUUUUUCUAAUGGAUUAAAAUCUGAAUAGGUACAUUAAAAACUAGCAUAGCUCAAAUAAAUGUCCUCUUUUUCCAAAGAUUAUUAAAGAGAGUUUUCUUUUUCUUUAACCCAGCUAUUCAAAUACUCUAUUAGACCAGGACCUGUAAUAAUACAGGCCUUGUCCAGAAGGGAUCAGGUUUCUAUGUUAUAUAAUUAGGCAAGACUUUAAAUAGUAAGACAUGCACCUGUGGUGCUUUUGUCUCUAACUCCACAAAUUUCAACAUGCAUACAAAUCAAGAAGGGGUGGGGGUGUUACAUGCAAAUUCUGCUUCAGUGGGUGUUGGAGCCUGAGAUUCUGGCUUUCUAACAAGCUCCCAGGUAAGUGCUGAUGCUGCUGCUUUGAGGGCCACACACCUUGAGGAGUAGGAAGAGUACUCAUACUGGAAGAGUAUUCAGCACGGACUGGAAUCCUGCAUACAUAUCUGAGCUCUGUGUUCUGGUAUGUAUAUAGACUUUUUAAAAAAAUUAGUAGAGAUGGGGUCUCACCAUUUUGGCCAGGCUGGUCUCAAACUCCAGGGCUCAAGAGAUCCUCCUGCCUUGGCCUCCCAAAGUGCUGAGAUUACAGGCAUGAGCCACUAUACCUGGCUUAUAUAGACUGCUUCUAAGGUCCAUUCUAACUGUACAAUUCCAUGAUUCAGUCACUGUUUGGCUAUUAACUAAUUUUUUUAGGCUUCUGAUUCUCAUUGUUUAUAAGCUGCUAUAUUAGAGAAUGUUCUGUACUGGAAGGCCAGAUAAAAAGUCUUACUUAUGGCCAGUAAGUUUUAUUUUUCAAUCUUCUACAAGUCUGCCUCAACCCAUGGGAAAUCUUGGCUAAUAGUAACAUGAUACUGGGCUUGGACCAUAAACUAAACUUGAGUCAGCAAUGUAGGGCUUUGGUUAGAUAAGCAAGAAUGAACUUGGGAAUAUAACCAAAAGAAAGGGACAGCUAAUCCUACCAGAACAGGCAGUAUUUAUAUGAAUACUUUUUUCAAAUAUCCACAACUGGGAAAAGCUGCUGAACACAUAAAGAAAAGUUAAAAGCACGGCAUUAUUUAGCUAGUGAAAAGAGAACAAAGAAUGCCUUAAGAAUAAUUUUUGAAUGGCAGCAGAAACCAGCAUAUCCUGUGAAGUAAAUGCAUUUUCAGGACCUCAAAAUAGAUUUAGGUUGCCUCUAAAGCAGAACUUUCCCAUGAUAAUGAUGAUCCUAGGUGGUAGGAUUGCCAAUGGUAAUUUUCUUUCCCAAAGAUUCUUACAACCAACCAUAAACCUACUAGAUAACCUAUCAGUUGUGUUAUUAACUGAUAUAUCAGUUGGGGUUCAGUGCAGACACUUCUCUAGGUACUGAAUGCUAAGAAUUAUAUGCUUAAAAAUUAUAUGCUCUUACCAUUAGAAGAGCUGGAAGAAGGCUGAGGGAGAUGCCUUCUUCCAGCCCUUCUAAUGGUAGGAGCAUUAAGAGGGAUGCUGUUGGGCUCGCAGUUCAGUCCACACAGCUACAAUCUAGAGGUCAGGAAGCUAUAAAGUCCACUGCUGGCAUCACAGUCAUUUCUCACAGAUGAAGUUAGUGGCAAUGCAGAGGCACAGAAAGUCUGGUCAUUAAAAACCACAUUUAAUGUUGCACGUACAUCAACA
rnacentral:lncRNA from 1 species